rnacentral:rRNA from 1 species
UCCGUAGGGGAGGCAUGCGGAGGGUUUGGCGUGGGGUCUACAACUCCCAAACCCCUGUGAACAUACCAAUUGUUGCCUCGGCGGAUCAGCCCGCUCCCGGUAAAACGGGACGGCCCGCCAGAGGACCCCCAAACUCUGUUUCUAUAUGUAACUUCUGAGUAAAACCAUAAAUAAAUCAAAACUUUCAACAACGGAUCUCUUGGUUCUGGCAUCGAUGAAGAACGCAGCAAAAUGCGAUAAGUAAUGUGAAUUGCAGAAUUCAGUGAAUCAUCGAAUCUUUGAACGCACAUUGCGCCCGCCAGUAUUCUGGCGGGCAUGCCUGUUCGAGCGUCAUUUCAACCCUCAAGCCCAGCUUGGUGUUGGGACUCGCGAGUCAAAUCGCGUUCCCCAAAUUGAUUGGCGGUCACGUCGAGCUUCCAUAGCGUAGUAGUAAAACCCUCGUUACUGGUAAUCGUCGCGGCCACGCCGUUAAACCCCAACUUCUGAAUGUUGACCUCGGAUCAGGUAGGAAUACCCGCUGAACUUAAGCAUAUCAAUAAGCGGAGGA